UACGUAGGGGGCGAGCGUUAUCCGGAUUCAUUGGGCGUAAAGCGCGCGUAGGCGGCCCGGCAGGCCGGGGGUCGAAGCGGGGGGCUCAACCCCCCGAAGCCCCCGGAACCUCCGCGGCUUGGGUCCGGUAGGGGAGGGUGGAACACCCGGUGUAGCGGUGGAAUGCGCAGAUAUCGGGUGGAACACCGGUGGCGAAGGCGGCCCUCUGGGCCGAGACCGACGCUGAGGCGCGAAAGCUGGGGAAGCGAACAGG
rnacentral:rRNA from 1 species